CCUACACAUGCAAGUCGAGCGCAGUAGCAAUACUGAGUGGCAAACGGGUGAGUAUAAUGUGGGAAUCUGCCUUUCGGUUUGGAAUAACACGGGGAAACUUGUGCUAAUACCGAAUAAGCCUUUACAGGGAAAGUUUUAACGCCGAAAGAUGAGCCCGCACUUGAUUAGCUAGUUGGUAAGGUAAAAGCUUACCAAGGCAACGAUCAAUAGCUGUUCUUAGAGGAAGACCAGCCACAUUGGGACUGAGACACGGCCCAGACUCCUACGGGAGGCAGCAGUGGGGAAUCUUGCACAAUGGGGGAAACCCUGAUGCAGCGAUGCCGCGUGAGUGAAGAAGGCCUUUGGGUUGUAAAACUCUUUCGUCGGGGAAGAAAAUGACUGUACCCGAAUAAGAAGGUCCGGCUAACUUCGUGCCAGCAGCCGCGGUAAUACGAAGGGACCUAGCGUAGUUCGGAAUUACUGGGCUUAAAGAGCUCGUAGGUGGUUAAAAAAGUUGAUGGUGAAAUCCCAAGGCUCAACCUUGGAACUGCCAUCAAAACUUUUUAGCUAGAGUGUGAUAGAGGUAAGUGGAAUUUCUAGUGUAGAGGUGAAAUUCGUAGAUAUUAGAAAGAACACCAAAUGCGAAGGCAACUUACUGGGUCACAACUGACACUGAGGAGCGAAAGCAUGGGUAGCGAAGAGGAUUAGAUACCCUCGUAGUCCAUGCCGUAAACGAUGUGUGCUAGACGUUGGAAAUAUAUUUUUCAGUGUCGCAGCGAAAGCAUUAAGCACACCGCCUGGGGAGUACGACCGCAAGGUUAAAACUCAAAUGAAUUGACGGGGACCCGCACAAGCAGUGGAGCAUGUGGUUUAAUUCGAAGAUACGCGCAGAACCUUACCAACGCUUGACAUGUUCGUCGCGAGA
rnacentral:rRNA from 1 species